AUUGAACGCUGGCGGCAUGCCUUACGCAUGCAAGUCGAACGGCAGCACGGGUGCUUGGACCUGGUGGCGAGUGGCGAACGGGUGAGUAAUAUAUCGGAACGUACCUUAUUGUGGGGGAUAACGCAGCGAAAGCUGUGCUAAUACCGAAUAAACGCUAAGGGGGAAAGAGGGGGAGCGUAAGGCGUCGAGCAAUUAGAGCGGCCGAUACCUGAUUAGCUAGUUGGUGAGGUAAAGGCUCACCAAGGCAACGAUCAGUAGCUGGUCUGAGAGGACGAUCAGCCACACUGUGACUGAGACACGGCCCAGACUCCUACGGGAGGCAGCAGUUGGGAAUUUUGGACAAUGGGGACAACCCUGCUCCAGCAAUGCCGCGUGAGUGAAGAAGGCCUUCGGGUUGUAAAGCUCUUUUGUCAGGGAAGAAACAGCAGCUCUAACACAGUAUGCGAAUGACGGUACCUGAAGAAUAAGCACCGGCUAACUACGUGCCAGCCGCCGCUGUAA
rnacentral:rRNA from 1 species